GAUGAACGCUGGCGGCGUGCUUAACACAUGCCAGUCGAACGGAAAGGCUCCUGCUUGCAGGGGUACUCGAGUGGCGAACGGGUGAGUAACACGUGGGUGAUCUGCCCUGCACUUCGGGAUAAGCCUGGGAAACUGGGUCUAAUACCGGAUAGGACCACAUUUUGGAUGGUGUGGUGGAAAGUUUUUCGGUGUGGGAUGAGCUCGCGGCCUAUCAGCUUGUUGGUGGGGUAAUGGCCUACCAAGGCGUCGACGGGUAGCCGGCCUGAGAGGGUGUACGGCCACAUUGGGACUGAGAUACGGCCCAGACUCCUACGGGGGGCAGCAGUGGGGAAUACUGCACAAUGGGCGCAAGCCUGAUGCAGCGACGCCGCGUGGGGGAUGACGGCCUUCGGGUUGUAAACUCCUUUCGCUAGGGACGAAGCGUUUUUGUGACGGUACCUGGAGAAGAAGCACCGGCUAACUACGUG
rnacentral:rRNA from 1 species